rnacentral:lncRNA from 1 species
UCUAUUCCUUCGGUUAUUAAUUAUAACCAAACAAAUAAUUCAUUAAUUUAGAAAUAAAAAAGAAAAUAAAAAGAAAAUCACAACUUUUAAAUAAAUAAAAAUAAGCUAUUGAAAUUUGAAGCAUGUCUUGAAUUAUUUUUCUCCUCAGUUAUAUUUAGGAACUGAAUGAAUAUCUGAUAUUUAAUUAAAAAUAAAAUAAAGCAUGACACACAUUUGCAUUAUACCACAUUUUUUUUUGGAUGGAGUGAAUGAUUU